GACCCACCUGUCUGACCGUUUGGCAUCCUUGCCCUCUGGAGGAGAUGACUAGAAAGAGCGGAUUGAAGAAGAACAGGCCUGAUUGUCUCGCCUGAGCUGGAGCUGAGCAGCUGUGUCAGCAAGCAUCCUGCCUGCAGACGGCCCUUUGAUCAACGCGCCGAGUCCCUACAAGCUGCUCUGCCGCUGACCCUGACCCCCGACCCCCGAGAAGCCAAAGAAGCACGCAGUGUGUCCCCGCGGCGAUCGCUGAGGUAUUGCAGGGUUUUUCGAAAAGUCUCUCCGAUCACGGCAAACACACCGCUCUAAUAUUAGAAGACUGUUAACCGCUAAUGCGGCUUCCAGUGAGCGUACAUAUUCAGGCGGUUAUUUAUUGCUCGGCUGCGGCUAUUUAAAGAAAUGUGCAGGAAGUAAGUGGCUCCGGUCCAUUUUACCGAGCCCUGUUUCAAGUGAUUUAACUCGAAGCUGACUCCUUUAUAAAUGCGGCAGUACAAAUGUAACACAGCACACACUGACAGCAUGUACACCACAUUACACUAAUCAUAACAUAAUGCGAAUGUGUGGAUUGGUUAUAUUUAAGUAGAGUUUUGCCCAACAAUAUGUGUUAGAUCACAGGUGGUUUGCGCUGAUGCCUCACAGCUCCCCGAAGCUAUUGCUCCGAACCCG